GAGAUGAAAGCAGAAAUCCGAUUUAAAUCUCGGCAACAAGAUCGUAAAUUCCAACCCACCCAUUCGAAUUGUUCAUGCUGAUGGAUAAUUGCUUAAUUGCGGAUCAAAUAGAUCAUUCGAUCGAACAAACAAUGGGACCCCAUCGCUUUCAUAUACAAUAACUUUUUUCCGAACCUCCCCGGGCGAGGAAUUGGAAAUUGAAAAAAAAUUAACCCAGACGUGCCUGGAAUAAAGUUUUGUAUGUUCGGCAUGCGGUUUUUCUGAAAUGCGCAAUUGACGCCCGCCGGUUCGCCUGAAAUUAUUUCAACUUUUGCGCUAUAUAGAGACCUAAGACCGAUUUCUAUGGCCGACUGUUUAUUUGCAUAUUCCGCUUUAUGGCUCAAGUGAAAAAUUCCGAAAAAAUUCAAGGUGGAAUCGAACGAGAAUCGUUGGAGUAUAAUGCCCAGCAAGAUCAACAACUAGUCUCUCACUCUUAUCAAGUGAUUCCAAAAUAUGUAUCUUUAGAGCCAAAUAAACAACUGAACUGAAAUGAA